GACGAACGCUGGCGGCGUGCCUAACACAUGCAAGUCAAGGGGCAGCAAUGGAGCAAUCUGUUGCUGCCACUGGCGCACGGGUGAGUAACGCGUAGGUAACCUGCCCUCAGCCCUGCAAUAACCCCGGGAAACUGGGGCUAAUGGCAGAUGAGGUCGGUGGGGGAAGUUCCCACCGAUCAAAGGGGCAACCCGGCUGAGGAUGGGCCUGCGUCCUAUCAGGUAGUUGGUGGGGUAACGGCCCACCAAGCCGACGACGGGUAGCUGGCCUGAGAGGGUGGUCAGCCACACCGGCACUGAGACACGGGCCGGACUCCUACGGGAGGCAGUAUG
rnacentral:rRNA from 1 species